CUUUGCAUCUAGAUUUUAAAUGCCAUUUAAAUCAGUUGAACAGGUUCGUAAAUCUUCUAGUAAGAAAGCGAUGAACUGAUAACAAUGCUUAAAGGAGAGGCAGAUAGUAGCAGUAUCAACGAGAGAUGUCCGAUCCAAGGUAUCUGCCCGCGUUGUCCUACACUUUUCACCAUGCCGUUAAAUACUACCUCGACUUGGAUCCACCCUAGCCACCUUACUCACAUUUCUGCUAUUUCCGGCUUGUUUAUCAAAAUUGGAAGAGGAUAACUCUGUACCAACAAACGCCACGACGCCCAAUUGAGACAGUCUACAGUUUACUGUGGUUCUACUGCAACAGGAGUGAAAGAUGAAAAAAACGAUCAUGAUUGUGAAUUGCUGAACAAUCUGACUGUGCAAUUUGAUGAAUAUAUAAUAGUUUUCAUGUUUAUAAUGCUGGACUUUUUUAGAUUAAUAAAAA